AUUCUGUUUUCCUCACCUUCAGGAGGAACACAGUCAUAUCAAAGGACACAAGAUCUUCUGCUUUCGUCUUUGUUGUUAAAUCAGUUAAGUGAUCUAUUACGUGGUCAGUCUAGUUACUAGCUAUCGAUUCUAAAGUUAUUUAAAUGACCUGUGUAACAUGUGGUUGUUUUAUAUCUAGGGCACGGUUCAGCUUCUGAAGAAACUCUCAGCUGCAAAACCCUGCCUCCAUUCCUACAAAAAUAGCUUUCAGGUGGUUGGAGUACAAGGAAAACCAAACCCAGUGGAAACCUGUGUAAGGGUGCGAAACACUUCCUCAUGGAGCAGCUAUAUGCUCAGCCUCAACCUACCAUCCGCUGCUGCUGCUGCUGAGGAUGAUGAUGAUGAUGUGAGGUGCAGAGGCAUUGAGGACUGAGCUGCACACUGUUCUGAUCCCAACCAUAAUAAGGCGACCUGACGAGCAUCAGGAUACCCACCCAGCCACCCACUACUUAUCUCACUCUCAACCUGCUGCAGCAUAAUGGAUCAUUACAGACCAGUGGAUCCAUUCUAUACAGGUCUGACCUGGUUACUUUAUUAACCACUCACCAACCACUUCACUGUUUGCAUUAAACUGAUUACAUUGUAACAUUACGAUUGUAAAAUAGCUAGUACACUUUUCUGUUUGUGACCCCCCCAUGUUCAAGUGACAUCUAAGCCCUUGCAACCCAGUAAACUAAAACACCCCACUAAAACACGUCGUCUGUCACU
rnacentral:lncRNA from 8 species